rnacentral:rRNA from 1 species
AGAGUUUGAUCCUGGCUCAGAACGAACGCUGGCGGCAGGCUUAACACAUGCAAGUCGAGCGCCCUUUUCAGAGGGAGCGGCAGACGGGUGAGUAACGCGUGGGAAUCUACCUAUCUCUAGGGAAUAACUCAGGGAAACUUGUGCUAAUACCCUAUACGUCCUUCGGGAGAAAGAUUUAUCGGAGAUGGAUGAGCCCGCGUUGGAUUAGCUAGUUGGUGGGGUAAAGGCCUACCAAGGCGACGAUCCAUAGCUGGUCUGAGAGGAUGAUCAGCCACACUGGGACUGAGACACGGCCCAGACUCCUACGGGAGGCAGCAGUGGGGAAUAUUGGACAAUGGGCGCAAGCCUGAUCCAGCCAUGCCGCGUGAGUGAUGAAGGCCCUAGGGUUGUAAAGCUCUUUCACCGGUGAAGAUAAUGACGGUAACCGGAGAAGAAGCCCCGGCUAACUUCGUGCCAGCAGCCGCGGUAAUACGAAGGGGGCUAGCGUUGUUCGGAUUUACUGGGCGUAAAGCGCACGUAGGCGGAUUGGUCAGUUAGGGGUGAAAUCCCAGGGCUCAACCCUGGAACUGCCUUUAAUACUGCCAGUCUUUGAGUAUGGAAGAGGUGAGUGGAAUUCCGAGUGUAGAGGUGAAAUUCGUAGAUAUUCGGAGGAGCCCCUGUUGGCCAAAAGCGGGCUCUCUGGUUCCUUUUACUGGACGUUUAAGGUUGCGAAAAGACGUGGGGGA